UACGUAGGGUGCAAGCGUUGUCCGGAAUUAUUGGGCGUAAAGAGCUCGUAGGCGGUUUGUCGCGUCGAAUGUGAAAACCCGGGGCUCAACCCCGGGCCUGCAUUCGAUACGGGCAGACUAGAGUUCGGUAGGGGAGUCUGGAAUUCCUGGUGUAGCGGUGAAAUGCGCAGAUAUCAGGAGGAACACCGAUGGCGAAGGCAGGUCUCUGGGCCGCAACUGACGCUGAGGAGCGAAAGCAUGGGGAGCGAACAGG
rnacentral:rRNA from 1 species